CGGGCCCCUCACUGUUGUGGCCUCUCCCAUUGCGGAGCACAGGCUCCGGACGCGCAGGCUCAGCGGUCAUGGCUCACGGGCCCAACCGCUCCGCGGCAUGUGGGAUCCUCCCAGACUGGGGCACGAACCCGUGUCCCCUGCAUCGGCAGGCGGACUCUCAACCACUGCACCACCAGGGAAGCCCGACAUUAAUUUUACUACACCAGAGUUCUGUUUCAGCAUUUGAGUAGGCAUUCAGAACUCUGGAGAGGGUUUCAACUAGGAAUACUGCCAAAGGAACAGGGCUUUACUUUUCCCUUCUAUCCUGGAAAAACAACAGCAACAAAACAAAUGGCAACAACAAAUAAAUUCUUUCUUCACUCUAAUUGGGGCACUUGGGAUUCCCAAGCCCCAGCCGAGUUUGCCUCCCUCUCCUUGAUGCCAUCCCUUAUCCCAGGCCACGUGUUCCACCUAGCUGGUAAUUGGGCUGUAUCUGUUCCAAGUGUGGCAAAUUAGUGGCCAACUCUGAAUGAUUGACCCUAGUUUGACCUGUAUUCAGAGAGUGUGAUGAGGCAGAUUUGAAUACUAAAAAUUGUGCUCAGCAGCCCAUGGUUCUUUUUCUUUCUGUAAUCUUGACUGUGCUUCUCAGAGCAAGGUCUGCAGGUAGGCCUUACAGACCAUGUUUUUCCUCUUCCCCAAAUAUGCAGCCUUUCUACCAGCUUUUCAACUUGCUUCAGGUCAGCAGAAUGAUAAAAUUUGCCAUGUCUCGUGAUUAAUAGCCUUUCAGCGUUUUUUAUACAUAUUGAUAUAUUUGGAGCUUAUUUUGAAGCUACCUACCUCUGAAAACCAUUUGAUCUGUGUUUAGGUUUUUUUUUUUUUUUCCUCUAUUCUUAACAUCAUUUUGUGUUUCAGAACCCCAAGCCAGAGUAGCUUGUUUUGGAAAAUACUUGUGUUUUUAAAAAAAAGUUCAAUGUAAUUCACAUUUUUUUAUAAAGAAAUUCAUAUUUUC